UCCCAGGUAUCGUCCGAUAGUGACAGUCUACUGGCAAAGCCAGACAUGCAUUGGAAGGAUGUUGAUGUGGAGGACACAGGGACACCUGAUCCAAGAACUGUGGCAUUUCAUUCGGAGCGACAGCCUGGCAUUCAGUUGAUAUGGGACCCGUUUAUUCAGAGAACUGCAGAUUUUAUGAAGCUGUUUUGACAGAAGAUUUAGUUUUCUCCAUCUGUGUUGCCACCAACCAUUAUGCUGAGAUGGUCAUAUCUAGAGGGAAGGAUCGUCAUAUGCUUCCCAAGGAAGUUCGCAGCCUCUCACUGAAGAGGAUACUAGUUUUAAAAAAAAACGAUAUUGUGACAGUGAUUUCCAGUUUAAAACGAGUAAUAAAAUGCAUAAUAAAAA